ensembl:lncRNA
AGUUGCUGAUCAGUGCUUCCUUAUGUCCAUUUCCUGAAGGAUGUCCACAUUUUCACCAGGCUUUUUCAGUGUAAGGCUAUAUGGCCUCCUGUACUUGGGUUUGAGCUCAGAUGCCAAAAUAGUGUCUGGAAUAGAACAACCCCUGCUGUAUGUUCCCUGCUGCUGAGGCAGAAACUUGUAGCAGAAGGUUGAGGAAGGUAUCUGAGUGUUCCUGACUAGAUCUGCCAAAGUGCCUCUGUCACAGCCUGAGGAGGUCUCAAAAAUGCUAACUUUUUGCCUUUGACCACAAAUUUUAAAUAGUGCAGAGGUUGUAGUGACCCCUUAAAAGACGAGCCCUUGGCUGGAGCCCUGGCCAUAAGACUGAAGGGGAGGGAACAGUCAGUGUCUGUGGUGCAGCUCCUCCAGCCCCUCUGCAGGACAAAUGAUGGGAGGAUCUGCAUACCAGGGGAUCCUUGACAAGUCUUUGCCUGAUCCACAAACCCAGGGAAAUGUCUCAAAGCCACGCUCCUGACCUGGUCCAAAAGCUUGGUCCCUUCAAGAGUACCAUUUGGUUCUGUUCUCUACCAGCAACCCAGAGUUGCCUCAGAGCCAUGCCUUAAAGCUCAGCAGAGUGGCUUUUGAAGUAGAGGGAGAGAAGAAGCUGUAUUUCUUUUCGUCCUGCCUACAAAGGUGAGCACAAGCAUCUGUCACCUUCUGCCUCAAGUUCACCCAAAACCACAGAGUCAAAGAAAGAAUGCAGCUUCCUUCCUAGCCACUGUCUGCUACCUUUUGCUUGGUCUUUAUGAAUCCCUGUGUCUGGCCAGAUCUCUGAGUUCAUCUAACCACUCCCUAUUUGAGGGGCAAAAAGUAAGGAAAAUUACCUUUUCCUUGGGCAUAGAAUGCCCAGUCUGAGGGGAGACACUCCUCCCCCCCCCAUUUGGUUGAAGUUUUACUUCAGUUCAUGUUCAUGCAGCUGGUCUUCAGGCUGAAGCUAAAUUCAGGCCGCUAUUAAAACAUCUCAUUCCUCACUGUGCCCAGAGCUGGAAGUGCUCACACCAGCUUUGAUAACUGUAGAGGAAGCUGAGAUGAGUAACAGGCCUGUUUCCAACCUAUCUAGUCAUAAACCCAUGAUAAAUUGAAUGUGGUCUUUGCUUUUGUUCUCAGCAGGUGACAGAACAUCUAUGACAAAUUUUAGCCACGCUCUGAGGCUGCCUGAAGGAGCUCACAUGCCAC